AGCCCAUGAAAAAGGCAUAGUCUUAACAAAUAUUUAUAAUGCUCUCAAGCGUCAAAUAAUUAUUCUCCAUCUUUUUGACUAAAAUGUUAAUCUCAUUCCUAACUCU